AUACAUUUUCCCACCCAUGGGUGUCCCUCUCCAUUCGAUGCAGCUCGGGCCAUUUGCUGUCGCGCGGGGGUCAGGGGCACUGACAGGCACUCCGUUGGUAUUGUAUUGAACUUCAAGAAGCGUUUUCACCGGACACGGGGCUCUUGCCAAAGGAGGGGGCAGCGGUGGGGUUCUGGGACACCUGAGGGGAGACUCCAGGGCCAAUCCCAGCCGGUGUCUGAAGACAACCACGGCUGUGCUAAGGCCGGCCAGGUGCUACGCUACCAACUGGACACAGGCCGCCUCUAGACUCACACGGGGCCCUCUCCACAGGUCAUAGGGAUGGACACGUCCUUCAGAGGGGCUGCCCCUCCAGCCCAGAUCCCCAGAUGAGAAGACACAUGGAGCAGAGGCACGCACUCACUGUCAGACCGCAGCUUCCAGUACGUGAUGCAAUACAGAAAUGAAUGUCUGUUGCAAGCCGCUGGGAUUUGGGGGCUGCUUGUUACUCAGCAAACCUGCCCAAUACAGUGAUGUUUUGCUGUCCUCUUUUGUGACUCAGAGGACAAGGAUGAAACUAAGCAGGAUCCUUGGUGCUACAAAGUGCAGAACACGUAAAUCCAACACUGAUUCUCAGGAGCCUCUUAUCAAAAGGUGAUAAACGUCCCCAGGAGAAAAAUUAGGAAUGCAGUCCCUGAAAAAAACAAACAUCAAAAACUCUCAUUUUCUUUUUAUUUAUUUAUUUGUUUAUUUUUUUUUAAUUUAAA